GCGGGUGUAGCGCAGUGGUCGACGCGCGCGGUCUCCAAAAUCGCGAGGACGCCGGUUCGAAUCCGGCCACCCAGCCCA
rnacentral:tRNA from 1 species